UUGAAUCCCCUAUUCUCUCAAUUCUCUCUGAAACCUCACCUGAACCCUAGCCGCCACCACCCUAGUCCACCAUAAUCUAUGGCCUUUUGAGGUCAUCUGAGACCUCUACUAGUCUCUCAUGGCUUCUAUAUGUUUAGUUCUGCGGUUUCAGACCAGACUUUGAAGGGAUUUGGUCCAGUCUUUGCUAGAUGGCCUUUCUCCGAUCAUCCCUGACCUUUCUUUGGCCAGCCAUGGAUUCGAGUCUGACCUUUGACUCUCCUAGUUAGAUUGGUAACUUUCAAGGCCUUUCUCGUUGUUUUUGGGUUUUUCUGAAACCCUAAUCUCUAAGACUUCUUCGAUUUCUUUUAGAUCUACCUUAGAUCUAUGCUUGCUAUGAACUUUUUAAGUGCUUCUCAAAGUUUCCUUGACCUUCUUUCAAAAUCACCCCUCACUUUCUGGUUAGGGUUUUCCUUCAAGUUUUUCUUUUUCAAAUUUUUUUGUGUCUGUGAUUUACUAUGUAUUGUUCAUGUUAUUCCCCUAUCUGAGUUAGCAUCUUGCAAAACCUAAUUUCUUUUGGGUUUAUUCGAGUUCUGAAGCUGUUCUCUAUAUAUGCACUCAUCUGACUGAGCAUUUCUUUGACUUAUUUGGUUUAUCAUCUUUAAACUCGAUUUUGUUGAAAACCCUACUUACUUUGUGGUCUUAUUCGAAUUCUGAAG
rnacentral:lncRNA from 1 species